AGUAAAGACUGCAGCCGUGUCUUGGUCACUGUCUGCCCUAUAUGGCAGGAAGACCGUCCAGACUGUUCUAAGCAGCUUCUUUUUUCUUCUAAUCAUUCACUGAAGAAAUACAUAUUGGAUGCCUACUUGUUGCCAGAUACAUGAGGCAUUUGGCAUAAAAUGCUGUGCAGAGAAGGCAAUGGCACCCCACUCCAGUAUUCUUGCCUGGAAAAUCCCAUGGAUGGAGGAGCCUGAUAGGCUGCAGUCCAUGGGGUCGCGAAGAGUCAGACACGACUGAGCAACUUCACUUUUACUUUUCACUUUCAUGCAUUGGAGAAGGAAAUGGGAACCCACUCCAGUGUUCUUGCCUGGAGAAUCCCAUGGAUGGGGGAGCCUGGUGGGCUGCUGUCUAUGGGGUCACACAGAGUCGGACACAACUGAAGUGACU
ensembl:lncRNA